rnacentral:rRNA from 1 species
AUGCGCUAUGAUGAGCGGUACACACCUUAUGUUAGGGAGGCAGGACUUCUCCCUUUCAUUGAGUUGGUCCGCCGGUCGACGCCACCCAACAAUGCUGCAGCACUCACCGCGCUUAUUGAUCAUUGGAGGCCGGAGACACACACUUUCCAUCUUCGGACCGGGGAGAUGACCGUGACGCUGCAGGAUAUUGCUAUGAUCACCGGUCUUCCUAUCAAUGGCAAUCCUUUAUGUAUGAACACCGAUUCUGAAGGGUGGCGCGCGCAGAUGCAUGCCCUUAUCGGUAUGGUUCCUCCGGAGCCUCGGGAGCCAGAAAGGGAAGAUAAGAAGAAGGAAAGAGUCGCAGACAAUGUUUGCUGA